GACGGACCACCCAAACGUUAUUCGGAAUCACUGGGCUUAAAGGGUGCGUAGGCGGUGUAGUAAGUCGGGUGUGAAAUCCCCCAGCUUAACUGAGGAAUUGCGCCCGAAACUGCUGCGCUCGAGGGAGACAGAGGUGAGCGGGACUGAUGGUGGAGCGGUGAAAUGCGUUGAUAUCAUCAGGAACACCGGUGGCGAAAGCGGCUCACUGGGUCUCUUCUGACGCUCAGGCACGAAAGCUAGGGGAGCAAACGGG
rnacentral:rRNA from 1 species